rnacentral:rRNA from 1 species
UACGUAGGGGCAAGCGUUGUCCGGAUUAUUGGGCGUAAAGAGCGUGUAGGCGGCUAGGUAGGUCCGCUGUUAAAAACUCGAGGCUUAACCUCGAGAGGUCGGUGGAAACCAUCUGGCUAGAGUCCGGAAGAGGAGAGUGGAAUUCCUGGUGUAGCGGUGAAAUGCGUAGAUAUCGGGAGGAACACCAGUGGCGAAGGCGAUCUUCUGGACGGAUACUGACGCUGAGGCGCGAAAGCUAGGGGAGCAAACGGG